UACGUAGGGUGUGAGCGUUAAUCGGAAUUACUGGGCGUAAAGCGUGCGCAGGCGGUUCGUUGUGUCGGCGGUGAAAGCCCCGGGCUUAACCUGGGAAUGGCCGUUGAAACUGGCGAACUGGAGUGUGGCAGAGGGGGGUGGAAUUCCGCGUGUAGCAGUGAAAUGCGUAGAGAUGCGGAGGAACACCGAUGGCGAAGGCAGCCCCCUGGGCUAACACUGACGCUCAGGCACGAAAGCGUGGGGAGCAAACAGG
rnacentral:rRNA from 1 species